rnacentral:rRNA from 1 species
UCGAACGGCAGCACAGGAGAGCUUGCUCUCUGGGUGGCGAGUGGCGGACGGGUGAGGAAUAUAUCGGAAUCUACCCUUUCGUGGGGGAUAACGUAGGGAAACUUACGCUAAUACCGCAUACGAACUGAGGUUGAAAGCGGCGGACCGCAAGGCGUCGCGCGGAUGGAUGAGCCGAUAUCCGAUUAGCUAGUUGGCGGGGUAAAAGCCCACCAAGGCGACGAUCGGUUGCUGGUCUGAGAGGAUGAUCAGCCACACUGGAACUGAGACACGGUCCAGACUCCUACGGGAGGCAGCAGUGGGGAAUAUUGGACAAUGGGCGCAAGCCUGAUCCAGCCAUGCCGCGUGUGUGAAGAAGGCCUUCGGGUUGUAAAGCACUUUUGUUGGGAAAGAAAAGCGGUCGGUUAAUAGGCGGUGGUUCUGACGGUACCCAAAGAAUAAGCACCGGCUAACUUCGUGCCAGCAGCCGCGGUAAUACGAAGGGUGCAAGCGUUACUCGGAAUUACUGGGCGUAAAGCGUGCGUAGGUGGUUUGUUAAGUCAGAUGUGAAAGCCCCGGGCUCAACCUGGGAAUUGCAUUUGAUACUGGCAGACUAGAGUGCGGUAGAGGAGAGUGGAAUUCCCGGUGUAGCAGUGAAAUGCGUAGAGAUCGGGAGGAACAUCAGUUGCGAAGGCGGCUCUCUGGACCAGCACUGACACUGAGG